UUUUUCCUUGGACCAGUAGGGUGGGGGGAGGAUGGUUUUAGGAUAAAACAAUUCCACCUCAGAUCAUAAGGCAUUAGUUAGAUUGUCAUAAGGAGUGCACAGCCUAUUACAGCUCCCUCACAUGCACAGUUUACAAUAGGGUUUGAACU